CCAUGUAAACUUUAUUACACCAAAAGAUAAAUUGAUGUCGUAAAUUGGAUUUUGCGGUAAAAUGCAAAGCAUAACAGUAACAGCAAAAGUGUUUAUGAAAAUACAAUAAAAGCAAAUACUUGCAAAAAAAAUUUAGUUGUUCUGCUUAACAUAGGUUAAAGUGAAGUUCGAAGAUAGAUGAUAGUUUAAGAAUAUUAACUCUUUAAAAUAUUAAAUUAUUGGUAAAGCAGGUGCAGUCAGUUGUUAAUACAACAUUAUCUUUUUAAAGAAGUAACGAUCUACAGAAAUUCUUUAAGAAUUCUACGAAAUCCUUUUUUCUUUAUGUUAGAAAGGAAUAGAAAAAUUUAUUAUACCAGACCUACCAAUUUUACAGGGAAACAAGUAAUUUUGUAGUAGCAUAAGAUCUUAUAUUUCACACUGAUUUAAUAUACUUGGAAAAAACUACAACGGCAGAACGGGCCAACACCUUAACAUGAAAUGAUUUCGAAAAAAAAAAAGGGGAUUCUUUUCAUCGAUUGUUUCGAAAAAGAGACGGCUGAAUGGCUUAUGAGGCAGUAACUUUUACUAUGGGAGGAAUGUUAACCAAGCCACAACUAAAGUUUGAGCUUAGUCAAUGUUUCCAAGAUAUUUAGAAGACAAAUAAAAAGAUUAGCUGUUCGAGAUGUGUAGGCAGUAUAUGAUUGUAGAAAUCAUAGCGAAGGACUUAUCAUGUGGUAUUAACACAGAAACAAGAAAUCUAUAUAGUGCAGAGUCCGCGUCAUAGCCCUUGGGGAAGUAGGCAACACCAGUUUCAAAGUGAAAUGUUAAUAAAAGAAUUUUUAGUUAAAGAAAACCUAGAUAUACAUAAUGUAGGAAAUUUCUAUACGGUUGUGACUAUGGUUAGAGAAGAUGUGGUGAUUUCCUUGUAGAGAAAUGUGGUGCAGUAGAGCAUAAUGUAAGCAAUAAUAAAGUAAAAGCAAAAAAACCAAAUGAAAAUGAAAUUGAAUUUUACUGAAAUUUCAAUUACACAAUUGAAAUAGUUUUGUACUAAUUUCCAAGCUCAUGUCCGCUCGUUAUUCUUAUAAAUGCGUUUUUUUUUUCAAAUUU